rnacentral:snRNA from 1 species
AUGCUCUUUGGCAGCACAUAUUCUGGAAAGAUAGAAAAAUAUUAGCAUGACUCCUGCACAAUGAUAGCAUGCAAAUUCAUGAUGUACUCCAUACAUAU